UACAGAGGUCUCAAGCGUUGUUCGGAUUCAUUGGGCGUAAAGGGUGCGUAGGUGGCGGGGUAAGUCAGGUGUGAAAUUUCGGAGCUUAACUUCGAAACUGCAUUUGAUACUGCCUUGCUUGAGGACUGGAGAGGAGACUGGAAUUCACGGUGUAGCAGUGAAAUGCGUAGAUAUCGUGAGGAAGACCAGUGGCGAAGGCGGGUCUCUGGACAGUUCCUGACACUGAGGCACGAAGGCCAGGGGAGCAAACGGG
rnacentral:rRNA from 1 species